UAUAUAUAUAUAUAUAUAUAUAUAUAUAUAUAUAUACAUAUAUAUACGUAUAUAUACGUAUAAAUUAAACGUUAAAGGUAUAAAUUAAAAGAAUAUGCAAGUGGUUUUUCACCUGUUCAUUUGUUCAUUUGUUCAUCCGUUGGCCAGCUCCUCUAUUAGAUUGCUUAUAAAAAUAAUUUUUUUUUUUUUUUUUUUUUUUUUUUUUUUUUUUUUUUUUUUUUUUUUUUUUUUUUUUUCAUAUUUUUAUUAUAAAAAAUAUAUAUAUAUAUGUGUAUAUAUAAUUUAAUAUACUGACAUAUUUACCAGCUACGUUUACACAUUUACAAGCUACGUUUAUUUUUCUUCCUUUUUAAAUCAACAUACACAUAUAUAUAAAAAUAAAACAGAAAAAAAAAUAAAAUAAAAAUAAAAA
rnacentral:lncRNA from 1 species